AUAAAUUAUUAAAUUAAAAUUAUUAAUUAAAUGUAGUUAGUAAUUAACUUUAUUCGUACAUAUGAGUAACAAUAUAUUUUAAGAUUUUUCUCCUAAUAUUGUACAAAUAUAUUAUAAGCAUUUAUAAACUAUUUUUUAUAAAAUACUUGUAUUCUGAGAAUUUUACAAAAUAUUUUAAUUCUUUAAAAGUUUAAAAAUUGGCUCCUUCAAAUCAAAUAUAAGAUGAAAAUACUAAUAAUUCAAUAAAAUAUAUUCUCACAGGUAAGAAUGAAAGUAAACCUUUGGUAAACGAAAAAGGCAAUCCGUAUGGUGACGGCAGUGCUGAUCUUGAUAUAAUUGAUGAUGAUCAAACUAAAGGUUCAGUUCCACUUUAAGAAUUUUCAAAAUAUAUGAUAUGAAAACAUUAAUUCAAUAAAAUUAUAAUAUUUUCAGUUAAAAAUCAAUUUAUAUAAAUUUCAAAAUUAAACUUGUUAUACAUUUUAUAAUGAUUUUGUUUCCAAAAUAAAAUUUCUCAUAACAGUCUA